rnacentral:rRNA from 1 species
UAGGGAAUCUUCCACAAUGGACGCAAGUCUGAUGGAGCAACGCCGCGUGAGUGAAGAAGGUUUUCGGACCGUAAAGCUCUGUUGUUGGUGAAGAAGGAUAGAGGUAGUAACUGGCCUUUAUUUGACGGUAAUCAACCAGAAAGUCACGGCUAACUACGUGCCAGCAGCCGCGGUAAUCGUAGGUGGCAAGCGUUGUCCGGAUUUAUUGGGCGUAAAGCGAGCGCAGGCGGAAGAAUAAGUCUGAUGUGAAAGCCCUCGGCUUAACCGAGGAAUUGCAUCGGAAACUGUUUUCUUGAGCGCAGAAGAGGAGAGUAGAACUCCAUGUGUAGCGGUGGAAUGCGUAGAUAUAUGGAAGAAUACCAGUGGCGAAGGCGGCUCUCUGGUCUGCAACUGACGCUGAGGCUCGAAAGCAUGGGUAGCGAACAGGAUUAGAUACCCUGGUAGUCCAUGCCGUAAACGAUGAGUGCUAAGUGUUGGGAGGCUUCCGCCUCUCAGUGCUGCAGCUAACGCAUUAAGCACUCCGCCUGGGGGAGUACGACCGCAAGGUUGAAAC